UACGUAGGGUGCGAGCGUUGUCCGGAAUUAUUGGGCGUAAAGAGCUCGUAGGCGGCCUGUUGCGUCGGUUGUGAAAGCCCGGGGCUUAACCCCGGGUCUGCAGUCGAUACGGGCAGGCUAGAGUUCGGUAGGGGAGAUCGGAAUUCCUGGUGUAGCGGUGAAAUGCGCAGAUAUCAGGAGGAACACCGGUGGCGAAGGCGGGAUCCUGGGCCAGUACUGACGCUGAGGAGCGAAAGCGUGGGGAGCAAACAGG
rnacentral:rRNA from 1 species